rnacentral:snRNA from 1 species
GGCAGACAAAUUUUUGGGUGUCACCCUAAUGAUUGCCAGGGUUGAUCUGCUGACUUGGCUGGUUUAGUGGAUGUCACCUUCCUUUCUCAGCAUGCUGUGUGCCUCUCCCUUGAAGUUACAUGCUUAGUGGAAGAGGGUGACCAUCACAGAAAGGAGCAUGCUGUGCUUUGGUCAAGGGUAUGUGAUAGCUAUGCUCCCUCUACCAGAACCUCUAAACAACCUUNCGAGCAAAUAUUAGUUGUGACCUCUGAACAGUGUGUAUCUGUCAAUGCUA